rnacentral:rRNA from 1 species
GCAGUAGGGAAUAUUGGGCAAUGGAUGCAAGUCUGACCCAGCCAUGCCGCGUGCCGGAUGAAGGCCCUCAGGGUUGUAAACGGCUUUUAUUCGGGAAGAAGAGCAGGGAUGCGUCCUUGUGUGACGGUACCGAAUGAAUAAGCACCGGCUAACUCCGUGCCAGCAGCCGCGGUAAUACGGAGGGUGCGAGCGUUGUCCGGAUUUAUUGGGUUUAAAGGGUGCGUAGGUGGCUUUAUAAGUCAGUGGUGAAAUACGGUUGCUCAACAAUCGAGGUGCCAUUGAUACUGUAGAGCUUGAAACAAGUGGAGGUUGCCGGAAUGGAUGGUGUAGCGGUGAAAUGCAUAGAUAUCAUCCAGAACACCGAUUGCGAAGGCAGGUGACUACGUUUGAUUUGACACUGAGGCACGAAAGCAUGGGGAGCAAACAGGAUUAGA